rnacentral:rRNA from 1 species
GACGGGGGAUGCAAGCGUUAUCCGGAAUCACUGGGCGUAAAGAGUCUGUAGGUGGUGAUGCAAGUCACUGGUGCAAAACUCUGGCUCAACCGGAGGAAAGCCAGUGAAACUGCAUGACUAGAGUGUGGGAGAUGUAGAAGGAAUUCCAUGAGUAGCGGUGAAAUGCGUAGAUACAGGGAAGAACACCGGAGGCGAAAGCGUUCUACUGGAACACAACUGACACUGAGAGAAGAAAGCUAGGGGAGCGAAUGGG